UGGGGAAUAUUGGACAAUGGGGGGAACCCUGAUCCAGCGACGCCGCGUGAGUGAAGAAGUAUUUCGGUAUGUAAAGCUCUGUCAGCAGGGAAGAAAGCAAUGACGGUACCUGACCAAGAAGCCCCGGCUAACUACGUG
rnacentral:rRNA from 1 species